GGGCUACAUUAAUUUUAUCGCUGCCUUGGAAAAAAGCGAUACUACAAUUCUAAUACAAUAGAGGCGGCUUAUAAAGGCCCUUAAAAUGACAAAGUUGGGGCAGAUUGAAGCGGCAAUGAUUGUAGUCCUUUUGUGGCUGACCGGACAUCUCUUAGUUCUUAGUGAGCGGACACGGGAUAAGAUGUAUCAGCCCAUUUUGGGUGCAAGUUGUUUUAGAAGACUGAACGGCACACACCAAACUGGAUGCUCAUCAACAUAUUCCGGGUCUGUUGGAGUGCUGCAUUUGAUCAAUGUUCAAUCAGAUUUAGAAUUUCUAUUGAGUAACCCCCCAGCACCACCGUAUGCACCACUCAUACCGCCACAUUUGUUCACAAGAGCGAAUAUGUUACGUUUAAAGGCAGUUGGACCAAGCAAUAUUUCUGUGGUGCUGCUGAUUAAUAAACCCGAAAAGAUGACUUCAUUUUCACAUGAGCUCAAAUGUCCCAAUCAAUAUAGCGGACUCAAAUUGGCUGACAACAUUGAGACUUGUGGUGCUAAAAAUGAGGCAAAUACGUGGAAUCGCUGGGGCACGGGCCUUUUGCACGAAGAUUUUCCGUUCCCCAUAUACUAUAUAGCUGAUGGCGAAGAGAUUGCCAAGUUGGUUAAUUGCUUCGAAAAGUUUAACAAUUUUGAUUACGAAUCCCAUGUGUUGCGCAGCUUAUGUGCCGUGGAGGUUAAGUCCUUUAUGUCAGCGGCUGUUAACACUGAGGUCUGUAUGCGCCGUACCAAUUUUAUCAACAAUCUCGGUGGGACUAAGUACUGUGACCCGUUGGAAGGCCGGAAUGUGUAUGCAACGUUGUAUCCACGCAACCCAUCGGAUCAACUAAAUGCAGACGCAGCACGUACAAUAAAUGCCAAUGAGAAGUUUAUAAUUGUAUCUUGCCAUCUAGAUACCACGAGCAUGUUCGAUGGUGUGGGUCUAGGAGCAGUAGACUCUUUAUUGAGCCUGGCCACACUGAUUCAAGUGGCUCACAUGUUGCACCUGCUGCUGGUUAGAAAAAACAAGCCUGCCAUUUCCCAGCGUAAUGUGCUCUUUGUUGUAUUCAACGGUGAGUCCUAUGACUAUAUUGGCUCUCAGCGGCUUGUUUACGAUAUGGACCAUUUGGAUUUUCCCAGUCGGGCCGCUCAAAGCAAACCCAUUUCUUUUGAGAAUAUUGAGUUUCUUUUGGAUAUUGGCACAUUGGAUGAUGUAGCCAACAUUAAGCUACAUACGCUAAAUACAACACCAUUGGCUCAGAAAUUGCUGCAACAGCUGAACAGCUAUGCCCAAGCUCCACGUUAUGGUUUUAAUCUAAACAUUCAAUCAAACGUAGGCUAUUCAAUACCACCAACAUCAGCCCAAUCAUUCUUGCGCCGGGAUGAUAAGUUCCCGGCGCUUAUCUUGAAUGGUGUACCCAGCAAUAAAUUUUAUCACUCAAUCUACGAUGAUCUCUAUAAUGUGGGCUUUUCGUAUGUCAAUACAAGUCAGGAUUACAUGUCGCUCACAGAUGUUAAUGAUAUGAAAAGUUUUGCGACGGACUCACUGCAAAUGAAGGUGCGCAAUAUUUCUUCAAUUGUCUCCAUGGCACUUUACGAAACAUUAACGGGUGACCAGUACAAAGAUAUGAUGGUGGCCAAUCCGAUUUUAACGGACGAGUUCUUUUACUGUUUCCUGCAAUCAUCUGACUGUCCAUUAUUUAGGGCAGCAUCCCAUCCAAAAAGUCCACGUGGCAUACCAUUGCCACCCAUGCGAUAUAUAAGUGUGCUGGGCGGCUCACAGGAGUCCUCAGGCUGGACAUAUCGUCUGCUGGGUUACCUAUUAUCUUUGCCGCAAAAGACUAUUGCCAUUGAGAAUUGCACACAAUUGCCACUUUACUAUUUUGCCGGCGUUAAUGGAUCUGGUGAAUGUCGUCUCACCACUCAAAAUUAUACUACUGCUUUGAGUCCGGCGUUCAUUAUAGAAGACUAUGAUUGGCGAUCGGGCCAGUAUUCAACGUGGACUGAAUCAACAUGGUCGCAAUUCAGUGCACGAAUAUUUUUGCGCCCGUCCAAUAUGCAUGAAAUUACCACCCUUAGCAUCGGCAUUGUGGUAUUCAUCAUAUCAUUUUGUGCGAUAUACAUUAUAAGCUCGCGAUGGGAGGCGCUCUUUGAGGAUGUGCCGGCAAGCAAUGCGGCAUUAUUUAAUUGAUGGUAUUAAUGCUGGUGCUGUAGCAACAUCCACAAUAACUUCAACAUCAUAAACUGUGCAUGUCAAAUCAUUUAUUAUAAAUUUUAGAUUGCCACCUCCAGCUGCCUGCUAGCGCGAAGAAGAAGAGCGUAUUCAAAGCAAACUGUUGUAUCUAAUCUUAUAAGUCUAAUAAAAGACAAUUAAUACAAAGAUACAACCGCGCGAAAAAAAAAACAUUGAAAUUGUAGUAACCCCAUGAUACUCUCUUUUAUAACGAUUCGCAAAUAAAUAGUUCAUUUUAUGUUUAACUCUUAGUAUGUAAUUAGGCUUUUGUUGUAAUACUAUAAUAAAAUAAAAAUAUGAUUGCUCCGAAUUGAAUUA